rnacentral:rRNA from 1 species
AUUGAACGCUGGCGGCAUGCUUUACACAUGCAAGUCGAACGGUAACAGGGUGCUUGCACCGCUGACGAGUGGCGAACGGGUGAGUAAUGCGUCGGAACGUGCCGAGUAGUGGGGGAUAACGCAGCGAAAGUUGUACUAAUACCGCAUACGUACUGAGGUAGAAAGUGGGGGACCUUCGGGCCUCACGCUAUUCGAGCGGCCGACGUCUGAUUAGCUAGUAGGUGAGGUAAAGGCUCACCUAGGCGACGAUCAGUAGCGGGGCUGAGAGGAUGAUCAGCCAAACUGGGACUGAGACACGGCCCAGACUCCUACGGGAGGCAGCAGUGGGGAAUUUUGGACAAUGGGCGAAAGCCUGAUCCAGCCAUGCCGCGUGUCUGAAGAAGGCCUUCGGGUUGUAAAGGACUUUUGUCAGGGAGGAAAUCCCUAGUGCUAAUAACACUGGGGGAUGACAGUACCUGAAGAAUAAGCACCGGCUAACUACGUGCCAGCCGCCGCUGUAA